AACGAACGCUGGCGGCAGGCUUAACACAUGCAAGUCGAGCGCCCCGCAAGGGGAGCGGCAGACGGGUGAGUAACGCGUGGGAACGUACCAUUUGCUACGGAAUAACUCAGGGAAACUUGUGCUAAUACCGUAUGAGCCCGAAAGGGGAAAGAUUUAUCGGGCAAAUGAUCGGCCCGCGUUGGAUUAGCUAGUUGGUGGGGUAAAGGCCUACCAAGGCGACGAUCCAUAGCUGGUCUGAGAGGAUGAUCAGCCACACUGGGACUGAGACACGGCCCAGACUCCUACGGGAGGCAGCAGUGGGGAAUAUUGGACAAUGGGCGCAAGCCUGAUCCAGCCAUGCCGCGUGAGUGAUGAAGGCCCUAGGUUGUAAAGCUCUUUCACCGGUGAAGAUAAUGACGGUAACCGGAGAAGAAGCCCCGGCUAACUUCGUGCCAGCAGCCGCGGUAAUACGAAGGGGCUAGCGUUGUUCGGAUUUACUGGGCGUAAAGCGCACGUAGGCGGGCUAAUAAG
rnacentral:rRNA from 1 species